GUAUUUUGUAAAGGAUAAAUACUUAGGUAGUAAUAGUUAUGGGCUUGAAACUUAAAAAAUUUGGCGGUAUUUUAGUCUAUUUAGAGGAAUUUGUCCCAUUAUCGAUAGUCCCCGUUUUACCUGACUUAAAUUAAAUAAUAUGUAUACCGCCGUAUAGAGGAUUUUUGCAGAAGGAAUUUUCUUUAUAUUUUAUUAAAUUUUAUUUCAGGUCAAGGUGCAGUAUAUAUUUAAGUGGAGAUGAAUUACAAUAUAAUAAUAUAUAAUGAAUUAUAAAUUGAAAUUAUUUAUAUGAAGGAGGAUUUAAUAGUAAUUUUAUUAAUAAUAAUAAUGUGAAAUUAUUAGCUCUAGAAUAUGU
rnacentral:rRNA from 1 species